rnacentral:rRNA from 1 species
UACGUAGGGGGCUAGCGUUGUCCGGAAUCAUUGGGCGUAAAGCGCGCGUAGGCGGCCCGGUAAGUCCGCUGUAAAAGUCCAGGGCUCAACCCUGGAACGCCGGUGGAUACUGUCGGGCUAGAGUCCGGAAGAGGCAGAGGGAAUUUCCGGUGGAGCGGUGAAAUGCAUUGAGAUCGGAAAGAACACCAACGGCGAAAGCACUCUGCUGGGCCGACACUGACACUGAGAGACGAAAGCUAGGGGAGCAAAUGGG